rnacentral:lncRNA from 1 species
UUCUCUCUCCUCCCUGCUCCUCCUCCCAAUGGGCUUCCUCUGGCCCGCAUCACCUCUCCGCAGCAUCCUCUUUGGAAACAUGAACAGAAGACAGCAAUGGGAUUCAGCCCCUCAGAAGAAAGGACUCUGCCUCUUAUUCUGAAAAUUCCUCUCUGUCAGACCCGGCACCACUGAAAGGUGAGUCUUAGCAUCUGACUACCAGGUGGGAGAGGACAAGGAAAUGAGCCCAGGCCAGGGGAUCCAGGGCACCUAUAUAUUGGGAGAACUGAAACCGAGUGCAGGUGUGUAUGUCUGUGUGUGGUAGAGCACAGCUGUGCUAUUUUCAAACUCAAAAUUUUGUUACAUCUAAGAAAAGUCUUCACAUGAUGUCUGAAAAGCCAGCUUAGCAAAGAGGGUAACAUAAAGGUGCUAGGUCUGGGCUUGGUAUAAUCCCAUGACACCAAGACCCACCUCCUGGGACAAUGUGGUAGAAGGACGGACCCCUUCCCUCCGGGUGUCUGUAUGGAGACAGCAGGGAACACCGGGACACACCUGCAAGGCACAGUUUCUUUUGCUGUCAACAUGCAUGAUUCCCAGGAUAAACAAGGGACCUUCAGGUAAUUCAUUACACAGAAAUUUCCUGGCAAGAGCCC